AAUUAAUAAAAAACAAAUAAACACAAAAUUUAGGAGAAAUAAUUUUUGAAAAAAAUAAUAAUAUUAAUUUAGAAAAAAAUAGCUGGAAACAAACCUAGAAAUAUUAUAACAAGAAACACUAAAUUAUUGGUAACAAAUCAAUAAUUAAAUUUAAAAACAAAUAAAUCAAAAACAAAACCGAACAAAAAUUAAAAAAAAAUCGAAUUAUAUAAAUAAUAAAAUUUUCCAAAAUAAAAACAUAAAAAUAAGGAAACAAAGUCUUCAAAAAUAAAGGAAACAAACUAACCGAAAAUAAAGGAAAAAAAUGGCCGAAAAAACACUAAAGAUGUUGGCCGAAAAAAACUAAUGAUACUGGCCGAAAAAAAUGAAAUAAUAUGGCAGAAAAAAAAAGAAAGAAAAGGGAUGGAAUAAAUCAAGGAUAAAUCAGUAAAUAUACUAAAUCCAUAAAACCGGCCCACACUCUUAAGCAGGUAAAAAACCGAUUUUUUACCUGGUGUAACGUACACCUGGUGUUCAAAUAUCACUACUCU
rnacentral:lncRNA from 1 species